UUUUAAAAAAAGGAUAAAAUUGGAACGAUACAGAGAAGAUUAGCAUGGGCCCUGUGCAAGGUUGACAUGUGAAUUCAGGAAGUGGUCCUUAUUUUA
rnacentral:snRNA from 1 species